rnacentral:rRNA from 1 species
UGCCAGACUCCUACGGGAGGCAGCAGUGGGGAAUAUUGCACAAUGGGGGAAACCCUGAUGCAGCGACGCCGCGUGAGCGAUGAAGUAUUUCGGUAUGUAAAGCUCUAUCAGCAGGGAAGAAGAUGACGGUACCUGACUAAGAAGCCCCGGCUAACUACGUGCCAGCAGCCGCGGUAAUACGUAGGGGGCAAGCGUUAUCCGGAUUUACUGGGUGUAAAGGGAGCGUAGACGGCGAUGCAAGCCAGAUGUGAAAGCCCGGGGCUCAACCCCGGGACUGCAUUUGGAACUGUGUGGCUGGAGUGUCGGAGAGGCAGGCGGAAUUCCUAGUGUAGCGGUGAAAUGCGUAGAUAUUAGGAGGAACGCCAGUGGCGAAGGCGGCCUGCUGGACGAUGACCGACGUUGAGGCUCGAAAGCGUGGGGAGCAAACAGGAUUAGAUACCCGCGUAC